rnacentral:sRNA from 1 species
GCAGCAGCAAAAUCUGCUGCCGGGUUUAGAAGCCUGAAUCCCCAGCGCGAAAAGCGCCCAUUUCCGAUGUUGGCGCUUUUU